rnacentral:rRNA from 1 species
CAGCCGCCGCGGUAAUACGAAGGGGGCUAGCGUUGCUCGGAAUUACUGGGCGUAAAGGGCGCGUAGGCGGACAGUUCAGUCGGGGGUGAAAGCCCGGGGCUCAACCUCGGAAUUGCCUUCGAUAUUGGCUGUCUUGAGUAUGAGAGAGGUGUGUGGAACUCCGAGUGUAGAGGUGAAAUUCGUAGAUAUUCGGAAGAACACCAGUGGCGAAGGCGACACACUGGCUCAUUACUGACGCUGAGGCGCGAAAGCGUGGGGAGCAAACAGGAUUAGAUACCCGAGUAGUCCUGUCUCUUAUACC